GAUGAACGCUGGCGGCGUGCCUAACACAUGCAAGUCGAGCGAAGCACUCUACUCGAUUUCUUCGGGAUGAAGGUUUAGUGACUGAGCGGGCGUACGGGUGAAGGUACGCGUAGGUAGUAACCUGCCUCAUACAGGGGGAUAACAGUUAGAAAUGACUGCUAAUACCGCAUAAGACCACAGCACCGCAUGGUGCAGGGGUAAAACUCCGGUGGUAUGAGAUGGAUCCGCGUCUGAUUAGCUAGUUGGUAAGGUAACGGCUUACCAAGGCAACGAUCAGUAGCCGACCUGAGAGGGUGACCGGCCACAUUGGGACUGAGACACGGCCCAA
rnacentral:rRNA from 1 species